CCAUCUCAAAAUAAAAUAAAAUAAAAUAAAAAAUAAAACCAGGAAGAGACCCACUUUCAUACUAUUCUCUUUCCAGCCUGGUGACAAGAGAACAAAACAUAUCUGUGUCUACUGGGAGGGAUCAGAGGGAGGCCGCUGGUCCACGGAGGGCUGCUCUCAUGUGCACAGCAACGGUUCUUACACCAAAUGCAAGUGCUUCCAUCUGUCCAGCUUUGCCGUCCUCGUGGCUCUUGCCCCCAAGGAGGACCCUGUGCUGACCGUGAUCACCCAGGUGGGGCUGACCAUCUCUCUGCUGUGCCUCUUCCUGGCCAUCCUCACCUUCCUCCUGUGCCGGCCCAUCCAGAACACCAGCACCUCCCUCCAUCUAGAGCUCUCCCUCUGCCUCUUCCUGGCCCACCUCCUGUUCCUGACGGGCAUCAACAGAACUGA
rnacentral:lncRNA from 1 species